rnacentral:lncRNA from 1 species
AGAUCACAGUGUGGGAGUAGAGCUGGGAAGAAAUUGACAAGAACACCGUCUCUUACUAUACAGUUUGCGAGGGUUGUAAAGAGUUAAGCAAGAAGAGUGGGCGUGGGGAGGGAGUGCUAAUCCAUCCUGGAUGAGCUGAGCUGAGGAGUGACUGGGGAGGAGGUGAUCAUGAAUAAGUUAAACUGGGAGAGAGCUGUUCCCAGGCACAGGGACAGGAGAGGUGCACCCAGUCAGGGAAACUCUCAUGGUCUGAAUGGCCAGAGGGCGCGUGUAUGCUUCAAGAUGAGAAUGGAGAGGGAAGCAGAAGCCAGAUCCUGAAGGAUUUCUGUGCAAAGCUCUGGAGUCUGAACUUUACCCAGCAGGGCUCCCUCCUAAAACAGCCACUUAGGAACAAGAGCCACUGAAAAGUGAUGGAUGUGCUCCCUUGACAACCCAUAGCAGGAACCAGCUUGUGUAGCAGUGACACUGCAAACUAAGGAAGCAGAAGCCAGAUACAUGCAUCCCUUGCCAGGGGGCUCCCAGUGGAGUCUUGUAGACUAUGUUACAGUGUGCCGUGGCUCCAAUUCAAUUCUAAGCUCUAGUUGUGUGACUAAAAGCCUAAAGGAGAAAAAGGAAAACAAGCCUCAAAGUCCUGCCUGCUUCUGUCUUCUGGCAAGAAACUAUGGCUAUACAUCCAGGAGGGCUGGAAGGGCUGAGUGGCAUUAUCAUUUUGUAACUCUCUUACUCACCAAAAACACAGGAGAGGUUUUCAAAUGAAUGUAUAUUCAUGAGGAAUAUUUUUUAAAGACAGUAGAAAGAAUUUUUUUAAAAAGCAGCAUCAUCACAAGGCCUAUUGGUUAUCUCUGUUCAGCAACACACAUUUAGGGGUCAUGUCAGAAAAUGGUAUAUGCUCAAAGGAUCUGCCUUCCUUUAGGUCACACCUUUACAUCAUCCACUUAUUCUGGAAACAAUAUUGUUCGUUCCCAUGGGCUGCUUAAGAUUUCUACGAUAUCACACUGACCAGAAUACUUUGAUAAGUUCCAUUGCUCAGGAUCCUGGAUUUUUGACUGGUCAAGCCCCAUCCAAGGAACUGCAGCACAAAAUAGAUGACUUAGAGGUCAAGAGCCUGGCUUUGAGCCAAAGAGACCAAUCAUUAGAAUUUUGGCCCUGCUCGUUACUACCUUGUGAUUUUGACAAAUUACUUUUCUUUCUAAGCCUCAGUUUCUUCUUCUAUAAACAAAGGCCAGAAAGAUACCUACUUCAUAGGAUUGUUACUAGGAUCAAAUGAGAAUGCCUAUAAAGUGCUUAGCAUAGUGCCUGGCACAUCGUAAGAUUUCAAUAAACGUUAAAUGCUUUCCCAUGCAAAACUGGUGGAAAUGUCUUUUUUGUUUCCAGGGCCUCUGUUCCUCUAGAGAAUUGUCAAGUGAUAAGAAUCUAUCCAGUACCAACAAGCUACACAACCAGAGCAAGACUGAAACAAGUCCAUUUACCUGGCUCCACACAAAGCUCCUGUAGAAUAAAAAUACCUGUGACUAAAGAAGCAUGGAAUGUUAGUAUGGGAAGGGCCUUUAGAGACCAUUUAGUCCAAUCUUUUAUUUUCCAAAAAAUAAGGAUAAACAAAACUUCUGAGAGAUAAAGAAACUUGAUCCGUGUGAAGAGCUAGUUAGGGGUAGGGCCAUGGUUCAAAUCCAGAUUUUUUGACCCUUAAUCCUGUGACCUGAUGAGCUCAAUUGCUUUGGUGGUUAGAACAGGUGAAAUGGCAGGGCAUGAAUGACCAAGGGGAAAGCCUCCUAAAUGUCUAAGUCAUCUCAUUAAGCACUAAUUUGUGAUUCCAUGAUUGUAUUACAAUAUGCUCUCUCAAUAGCAAAUAGAGAGCAAGUGAUUACAAGAUGCCACCUUAAAAGAAAUCCUCCACUUCAUAGGCCCUGCAAACCAUCAUCAUCAUGGUGAGUUUGCCUAAACACAUUUGAUAUUGAACCAUAAUGUGUGAAACAAUUCAUCAAAUGCUUGCAACCAUUUAUGCCAAAGAAUUGGGGGGAAAUCAUAGAAAUCUAUACUGUGAACUGUAAGCCAAUGGCAUUUAUGGCAAGUGAAAUGUCAUGCUAGACAGUCUCUACAAUGACACCCAAUAAUCCCUACUUCCUGGUAUUCAUAUCAUUGAGUAAUCUCCUCCCCUAGAGUUUGGGCUGGAUGUAUGCACUUGCUUCUAACAAAUAGAAUACAGCAGAAGUGAUAGGAUGUCAAUUGUGAGAUCAGGUUAUAAAAAGACUGUGGCUUCCACAUUUGGCACUCUUUUUCACUCUCCUUUAGUUUGCCUAUUUGGGGGAAACCAUCUGCCAUGUCAUAAAGUAGCCCCAUGGAUAAGCGCAUGUGAGUAAGGUUGGAAGCAGACCUUCUGAGGCCUGCCUAUAACCAUGUGAGUGAGAUCAGAAGCAGUUUUUUCAGCCCCAGUCAAGUCUUGAGAUGACUGAUAGUUUGACUGCAACCUUGUGAGAUACCUUAGGCCAAAUGGUACCCAGCUAAGCUGCUCCCAGAUGCAUUACCCAUAGAAAUUAUGAUAUAAUAAAUUUUAGGGUAACUUGCAAUAGAUAACACAAAAUGCAGAUAGGAUUGGGAUAUAGCAACCCUGAGCACAGGGCUUGAUGUCGUGGUCCCCCAAAAAGCAAAUAUUUUUGUUCUUAUUAUGGACAGUCCAGAAAAACAGUAUUCAUUUUCUGUGAGACUUCUCCAAGGUUCUACAAAAAUCAAAUAAAUAUACUUGUGG